UACGUAGGAGGCGAGCGUUGUCCGGAAUUACUGGGCGUAAAGAGCGCGUAGGCGGCACGGUACGACCGGUGUGAAAGCCCCCGGCUCAACUGGGGAGGGUCACCGGUAGCGGCCGAGCUCUGAGUGCAGGAGAGGGAAGUGGAACUCCGGGAGUAGCGGUGAAAUGCGUAGAGACCCGGAGGAACACCAGUGGCGAAGGCGGCUUCCUGGUCUGCAACUGACGCUGUGGCGCGAAAGCUAGGGGAGCAAACGGG
rnacentral:rRNA from 1 species